rnacentral:rRNA from 1 species
GCUUCGCAAGGCCAGAGGCCGUCGCCGGUUAUCCGGCGUCAAGAAACCAAAGUGGUUUCCAAGCAUUGUUGAAAGGUAUCUUAUUCUGAAUACAUAGGGAUAAGAAGCGAACGCAGGGAACUGAAACAUUUAAGUACCUGCAGGAAAGGACAUCAACCGAGACUCCGCAAGUAGUGGCGAGCGAACGCGGACCAGGCCAGUGGCAAUGAGGAAUAAAGUGGAACGAUCUGGAAAGUUCGGCCGUAGCGGGUGAUAGCCCCGUACACGUAGAACACUCAUUGUCCUUGAGUAAGGCGGGACACGUGAAAUCCUGUCUGAACAUGGGGAGACCACUCUCCAAGCCUAAGUACUCGUGCAUGACCGAUAGCGAACAAGUACCGUGAGGGAAAGGUGAAAAGCACCCCGACAAGGGGAGUGAAAUAGAACCUGAAACCGGAUGCCUACAAACAGUCGGAGCCCGCAAGGGUGACGGCGUACCUUUUGUAUAAUGGGUCAACGACUUAGUGUGGCAUGCAAGCUUAAGCCGGUAGGUGGAGGCGUAGCGAAAGCGAGUCUGAACAGGGCGCUUUAGUAUGUCGCAUUAGACCCGAAACCGAGUGAUCUAGCCAUGAGCAGGUUGAAGGUUGGGUAACACCAACUGGAGGACCGAACCCGCAUCUGUUGCAAUAGAUUGGGAUGACUUGUGGCUAGGGGUGAAAGGCCAAUCAAACUCGGAAAUAGCUGGUUUUCCGCGAAAACUAUUUAGGUAGUGCGUCGACCGAAUACCCUCGGGGGUAGAGCACUGGAUGGGCUAUGGGGACUCACCGUCUUACUGAUCCUAACCAAACUCCGAAUACCGAGGAGUACUAGUCGGCAGACACACGGCGGGUGCUAACGUCCGUCGUGAAAAGGGCAACAACCCUGACCUCCAGCUAAGGUCCCCAAGUCAUGGCUAAGUGGGAAAGGAUGUGAGGAUCCCAAAACAACCAGGAUGUUGGCUUAGAAGCAGCCAUCAUUUAAAGAAAGCGUAACAGCUCACUGGUCUAAAUAAGGGUCUUUGCGCCGAAAAUGUAACGGGGCUGAAGCCAUGCACCGAAGCUGAGGAUACGUCGUAAGACGUGUGGUAGCGGAGCGUUCCGUAAGCCAGUGAAGGGAUACCCGUGAGGGGUCCUGGAGGUAUCGGAAGUGCGAAUGUUGACAUGAGUAACGAUAAAGAGGGUGAGAGACCCUGUCGCCGAAAGACCAAGGGUUCCUGCUUAAAGUUAAUCUGAGCAGGGUUAGCCGGCCCCUAAGACGAGGCGGACACGCGUAGUCGAUGGGAACCACGUUAAUAUUCGUGGGCCUGGUGGUAGUGACGGAUUGCUCAACUUGUCCGGACUUAUUGGAUUGUCCGGGCGGGGACGCGGUUCCAGGAAAUAGCUCCACCGUAUAGACCGUACCCGAAACCGACACAGGUGGUCAGGUAGAGUAUACCAAGGCGCUUGAGAGAACUAUGUUGAAGGAACUCGGCAAAUUGCACGCGUAACUUCGGAAGAAGCGUGACCCUUUUCUACGCAAGUAGGAUGGGGUGGCACAGACCAGGGGGUAGCGACUGUUUAUCAAAAACACAGGGHUCUGCGAAGUCGCAAGACGACGUAUAGGGUCUGACGCCUGCCCGGUGCUGGAAGGUUAAGAGGAGGGGUGCAAGCUCUGAAUCGAAGCCCCAGUAAACGGCGGCCGUAACUAUAACGGUCCUAAGGUAGCGAAAUUCCUUGUCGGGUAAGUUCCGACCUGCACGAAUGGCGUAACGACUUCCCCGCUGUCUCCAACAUAGACUCAGUGAAAUUGAAUUCCCCGUGAAGAUGCGGGGUUCCUGCGGUCAGACGGAAAGACCCCGUGCACCUUUACUAUAGCUUUACACUGGCAUUCGUGUCGGCAUGUGUAGGAUAGGUGGUAGGCUUUGAAGCGGGGACGCCAGUUCUCGUGGAGCCAUCCUUGAAAUACCACCCUUAUCGUCAUGGAUGUCUAACCGCGGUCCGUCAUCCGGAUCCGGGACAGUGUAUGGUGGGUAGUUUGACUGGGGCGGUCGCCUCCGAAAGAGUAACGGAGGCGCGCGAUGGUGGGCUCAGAGCGGUCGGAAAUCGCUCGUCGAGUGCAAUGGCAUAAGCCCGCCUGACUGCGAGACUGACAAGUCGAGCAGAGACGAAAGUCGGUCAUAGUGAUCCGGUGGUCCCGCGUGGAAGGGCCAUUGGUUAAAGGRAUAAAAGGAACCCCGGGGAUAACAGGUGRAGAACCCCCAAGAUUCCAUAUCGACGGGGUUGUUUGCAACUUGGAUUUCGGUUCAUCGCAUCGUGGGCUGGAGCAGAYCCAANAUUG